rnacentral:rRNA from 1 species
AUUGAACGCUGGCGGCAGGCUUAACACAUGCAAGUCGAACGAGUGGCGGACGGGUGAGUAAUGUCUGGGAAACUGCCUGAUGGAGGGGGAUAACUACUGGAAACGGUAGCUAAUACCGCAUCCCAUCGGAUGUGCCCAGAUGGGAUUAGCUUGUUGGUGGGGUAACGGCUCACCAAGGCGACGAUCCCUAGCUGGUCUGAGAGGAUGACCAGCCACACUGUACCUGAGACACGGUCCAGACUCCUACGGGAGGCAGCAGUGGGGAAUAUUGCACAAUGGGCGCAAGCCUGAUGCAGCCAUGCCGCUUGUAUGAAGAAGGCCUGCGGGUUGUAAAGUACUUUCAGCGGGGAGGCGUUACCCGCAGAAGAAGCACCGGCUGACUCCGUGCCAGCAGCCGCGGUAAUUC